UCAGUAUUUCAGUGUGGAGUCAGAUGAGGGGAUUAUUUUUCAUGAAGCCAUUAUAAGACUGUUGCUGACAUCUGUUGAAUGCACGUGAUGGGCAGUUGGCUGACCGAGAGGAGUCUGGCAGUAAACCAACUAUAUGAGGCAGAGGAUCUACUCUUUCGGCUGCUGCUGAUGACAACAACAACUGCAUGAACCAGCCAGGCAACAACCCAUACUGUAGCCUACUGUUCCAUAAUGAAGUCCACCAGAGUUGGUAGCAAGAUUGAAGUGGGCCAUCAUUCAAAC